rnacentral:lncRNA from 1 species
GGAAAGUGGGCAAGGCAGAAUUCUAGUUUCUAUAAAUAUUAUAUGAUUCUUUUAAUUUGGAAAGAAUCAAAAUUCAUUUGGCCUAAAAUAUUUGGAUACGUGUCUCAAUUACUCUGUUAGUGUAAGCCCGACCUCCUCUCUGCUAGCAGAAAGAAUUGGCAGACAAAAUACAUGCUGGUGACUCAGUGUGAGGUGUUCUCUCCUCCUUGGGGGGACGAAGCGGGAGCAGAGAACACUGAAGCCAGAGGCACUGACUUAAAAUGGAGCAUCUGAUCCUUAAAGAUCCCCUGGUAUUUGUUGUCAGAGAUGUCAGCUGGAUUUCAGUUCAGAUAAUUACAUUUUGCUUGUCUAAUGCCCCUAGCAAUUUCCAGUGGGAUCUUCAUUUCCCAUCAGAAAUUGCUCUGCAUGUGAUGCUGUGCUUCAUUAAACAACUGCCGUGUGCUAGCUCACAGGUGGUGUUUGUUUCAGUGGUCACUGAAGUAAUCUCUCCGCAGGCCCAUGCCAGCCAUACUGCCCAGACUUGAAUUCUCUCCAGAGAAGUUUCUCAUCCAAGAUCCCCAGUAAAGAAAGGACUACUGAAGGAAAAAGGAAAGAAAAUAGAGCUUCUUUCAUCUUUAUUCUGGGGUUUUCUGCAAUUUUUUUAAAGAGAAAGACAACUUUAGAAGAAAAGUUAAAGUCGGUAUUUCCAACUUGUUGCUGAUAUGAUGAAGCUCUUUAGUGAAAAACCAAAAUCCUACUGUCUGAGAAAAGCAUCACAUCAGCAAUGUCAUAGGUAAGCUACAUAAAAAGGAGUUUGCUUGGUGAGCAAUGGUGGAGUGAGGCUCAUGAUUUGAGUAUUUCAAGAUGUCAACUAAGGGCACCUCAACCAAAUGCACCUCAUGCCCACUGACUCAACAGGUCGAGACCUUAAGGAAAUGCGGCAUUCCAUUGCAUAAUGCUUCAGACCAAGGACAGAACCCAGAGGGCUAACAAAGAAGCACCAUGGAGUUGGUACACAGACCUCUGAGAACGGAUCCUAAAUGGCUAUCGCUGCUACCUGGCAUCUCACCAGAGAACUGGUUCUGGAAGCUCUCAAGGAAGGUUGAAGCUUUUAACUGCUACUGACCAAUACAGGAAAAACAGAAAUGUAUGGAGUCUCACUAUGUCACCCAGGCUGGAGUGCAGUGGCGUGAUCUCGGCUCACUGAAACCUCCACCGCCCAGGUUCAAGCAAUCCUCCUGUCUCAGCCUCCUGAGUAGCUGCAACUACAGGCACCUGCCACCAUGCCUGGCUAAUUUUUGUAUUUUUAGUAGAGACAGGGUUUCUCCAUGUUGGCCAGGCUGGUCUCAAACUCCUGACCUCAGGUGAUCCACCCACCUCGGCCUCCUAAAGUGCUGGGAUUUCAGGCGUGAGCCACUGCCUUCAGCUGGAAAUAGCAUUUACUUUAGAGUGUGAUUGUAAAGAUUAGUGUGAUAAUAUGUACAGAACAUCUUAUAUUCAUGGAGGGCACACAUUUGUUCAAUGAAUUGUACUGAUGAGAUCACAAAUCACAUUUCCUCACCCUUCAACCACUGCGCAUCCAAUAUCAUU